rnacentral:rRNA from 1 species
UAGGGAAUAUUGGACAAUGGGGGCAACCCUGAUCCAGCCAUGCCGCGUGAGUGAAGAAGGCCCUCGGGUUGUAAAGCUCUUUUGUCCGGAAAGAAAAGCAUUCGGUGAAUACCCGGAUGUUCUGACGGUACCGGAAGAAUAAGCACCGGCUAACUUCGUGCCAGCAGCCGCGGUAAUACGAAGGGUGCAAGCGUUACUCGGAAUUACUGGGCGUAAAGCGUGCGUAGGUGGUUGUUUAAGUCUGAUGUGAAAGCCCUGGGCUCAACCUGGGAAUGGCAUUGGAAACUGGGCAGCUAGAGGGCGGUAGAGGGUAGUGGAAUUCCCGGUGUAGCAGUGAAAUGCGUAGAGAUCGGGAGGAACAUCUGUGGCGAAGGCGACUGCCUGGACCAGCACUGACACUGAGGCACGAAAGCGUGGGGAGCAAACA